UACGUAGGGUGCGAGCGUUGUCCGGAAUUACGGGGCGUAAAGAGCUCGUAGGUGGUUUGUCGCGUUGUUCGUGAAAACUCACAGCUUAACUGUGGGCGUGCGGGCGAUACGGGCAGACUGGAGUACUGCAGGGGAGACUGGAAUUCCUGGUGUAGCGGUGGAAUGCGCAGAUAUCAGGAGGAACACCGGUGGCGAAGGCGGGUCUCUGGGCAGUAACUGACGCUGAGGAGCGAAAGCGUGGGGAGCGAACAGG
rnacentral:rRNA from 1 species